rnacentral:rRNA from 1 species
GACGGAGGGGGCUAGCGUUGUUCGGAAUUACUGGGCGUAAAGGGCGCGUAGGCGGAUUAGUAAGUUGGGAGUGAAAGCCCGGGGCUUAACCUCGGAACUGCUUUCAAAACUGCUAGUCUAGAGUGAAGUAGGGGGUGAUGGAAUUCCUAGUGUAGAGGUGAAAUUCUUAGAUAUUAGGAGGAACACCGGUGGCGAAGGCGGCUCUCUGGAACGGUACUGACGCUGAGACGCGAAAGCGUGGGGAGCGAACAGG